CCUACGGGAGGCAGCAGUGGGGAAUAUUGGACAAUGGGCGAAAGCCUGAUCCAGCAAUGCCGCGUGAGUGAUGAAGGCCUUAGGGUUGUAAAGCUCUUUUACCAGGGAUGAUAAUGACAGUACCUGGAGAAUAAGCUCCGGCUAACUCCGUGCCAGCAGCCGCGGUAAUACGGAGGGAGCUAGCGUUGUUCGGAAUUACUGGGCGUAAAGCGUACGUAGGCGGUUAUUCAAGUCAGAGGUGAAAGCCUGGAGCUCAACUCCAGAACUGCCUUUGAAACUAGAUAGCUAGAAUCUUGGAGAGGUGAGUGGAAUUCCGAGUGUAGAGGUGAAAUUCGUAGAUAUUCGGAAGAACACCAGUGGCGAAGGCGACUCACUGGACAAGUAUUGACGCUGAGGUACGAAAGCGUGGGGAGCAAACAGGAUUAGAUACCCUGGUAGUCCACGCCGUAAACGAUGAUAACUAGCUGUUCGGGCUCUACGAGCUUGAGUGGCGCAGCUACGACAUUAAGUUAUCCGUCCGUCGGGUAGGUACGGUCGCGAAGAAUUAAACUAACGAACGGAAGUUAGUACGGCGUGAGACGUGCCGACGGACGACGACGAGGGAGGUUAGG
rnacentral:rRNA from 1 species